AUUGAACGCUGGCGGCAGGCCUAACACAUGCAAGUCGGACGGUAGCACAGAGGAGCUUGCUCCUCGGGUGACGAGUGGCGGACGGGUGAGUAAUGUCUGGGGAUCUGCCCGAUAGAGGGGGAUAACCACUGGAAACGGUGGCUAAUACCGCAUAACGUCGCAAGACCAAAGAGGGGGACCUUCGGGCCUCUCACUAUCGGAUGAACCCAGAUGGGAUUAGCUAGUAGGCGGGGUAACGGCCCACCUAGGCGACGAUCCCUAGCUGGUCUGAGAGGAUGACCAGCCACACUGGAACUGAGACAUGAUCCAGAAUCCUACGGGAGGCAGCAUUGGGGAAUAUUGCACAAUGGGCGCAAGCCUGAUGCAGCCAUGCCGCGUGUAUGAAGAAGGCCUUCGGGUUGUAAAGUACUUUCAGCGGGGAGGAAGGCGAUGUGGUUAAUAACCGCAUUGAUUGACGUUACCCGCAGAAGAAGCACCGGCUAACUCCGUGCCAGCAGCCGCUGUAA
rnacentral:rRNA from 1 species